UACGAAGGGGGCUAGCGUUGCUCGGAAUCACUGGGCGUAAAGCGCACGUAGGCGGAUCUUUAAGUCAGGGGUGAAAUCCCAAGGCUCAACCUUGGAACUGCCUUUGAUACUGGGUAUCUCGAGUAUGGAAGAGGUGAGUGGAAUUCCGAGUGUAGAGGUGAAAUUCGUAGAUAUUCGGAGGAACACCAGUGGCGAAGGCGGCUCACUGGUCCAUUACUGACGCUGAGGUGCGAAAGCGUGGGGAGCAAACAGG
rnacentral:rRNA from 1 species